GGUUAAUCAUCUCCAUGUACUGCUGCAUAGACUGUUGCCUCUGUAAUCUCAUAUCUUCAUUAAACUUCUUAAUAAACGCCUCCACUUUCCGAUUCAAGUCGUCGGAGCUCAGCGACGGAUCCUUCCGGAUCUUCACUGCCGUCGGCGACGGUGAAUACGACGGCGAGACGUAGUUUGUCCGGUCCUUGAAAGUCUCCGACUUAAGCACGCGCCUCUGGUGGUGGUGCUGCGGUGGAAAGGUGGUGGAAUUUUCGUUUUCCUCCGGAGCGUCGUCGUCCACGGCCGCCACGUGCCGCCCGUGAAUGUGAAAGGUGUCUGAUUUCUUCAUAUGCCUCGUGAGUGGCACGUGACGACCCUCUGUUAUCAUUUUCCAUGUGUUCUCUAAUGUCUCUGGCUUUUUCGACCGGGACACUUUCAGUGACUUCACCCCUUCCGGACUCAUUUUCACAGCAGGUUUUCUGUUACCGAAUCUGGAAGAAACCAGAGGUUUCUCCGUCGCCGGUAUUAGAAGCAGCUCAUUUUUAGAUUCAAUUUCCGGCAACGGAGAAACAACUGAUUUCGGAAUCACGAUCGCUUCGCUUUCAUCGGGAUCAUCGUGAUCUUCAUCUUCAUGAUUCAUAACCACGACGGAGCCGUUCACCAGUACUGGCUUAACCUCAAACACCUGCGGUUCAUCCACCACUACAGGCUUCACCUCAAACACCUUCACUUCACUUUGGACUGAAUGAAGCUCCGAUUGAGUAAUCGCUAUCAAAUCUGACUGCGGAGGUGUUCUAGCGGUAAUCAGCGGUUGUAAUUGUUCGUCGGAGCUGGAGUACUCCUUAUGGUUGGACGAGCGAGAAGUGGCGAAAAUUAUGAGGAUUAUAGCAUUGAUAACAAAGUAGAGAUACGGAGGCUUAAGCCAAGCUAUAAGUACACUCCAAAUUGCUGGUAGCUCAUGAUAAAUUAAUGGAAUCGACGCUUUCGCUACCAUCGCUAAGGAAAUUGCACCAAUUGAUAUUAGCACAACCUUAAUGGAUAGAAUUAAACUGUUCGCCAUUUUCUCCGAUAACCUUUGCUUUUUCCGGUGAGUGAUGUACUGUAAAGGAAG
rnacentral:misc_RNA from 1 species